rnacentral:rRNA from 1 species
UACGGAGGGUGCGAGCGUUAUCCGGAAUUACUGGGUUUAAAGGGUGCGUAGGCGGCUUGGUAAGUCGGGAGUGAAAGUUUGCGGCUCAACCGUAAAAUUGCUUUUGAUACUGCCAGGCUAGAGUCAGGAUGAGGUCAGCGGAAUGUGGCAUGUAGCGGUGAAAUGCAUAGAUAUGCCAUAGAACACCCAUUGCGAAGGCAGCUGGCUAGACCUGGAUUGACGCUGAGGCACGAAAGCGUGGGGAGCGAACAGG